ACAUUAUUAUAGUCCAGCAGAAUUGUGUCAAAUUAUGGUCGAAUUGUGAAAUUUGAGUGAGAAACUGAUCAUUUGGAAUUAGAAGCCAUUAUAUGUCAAGAAAUUGCUUCGUAACUGUGAUUCAGAUAGCUUUUCAGAACCUCAUUAAAUAGAGUAAAACUGUUGGUUGCAGAUGUAUGACAAUAAAACGUGAUGUCAAAGAAGAUCGUGAUUUUGGACUGUGAAAGAUCUGUAAGAUGAGAAAAAUCUAGUACUAUUGACUAGGGAAAAUGUUGUAUUUGUCAAAAAGAUACUUCAGAGAAACUGGUAUGUCCGGCGACGUUCCAUAGAAAGGGAUAUGACCGCAACUCAAUAUAUAAGGCACUCGCUGGAAACACUUUGAAGAUGUCACGCCAGCAUUUAAAUCUCUCUCUGAAGCACCAGAUCUUGCUGACGUUGAUAAGAGUUUACCAGUUUUGGAACGUUUCGUUGUCCUGCUUUAUGAUCGCGUCAGCACAUGUAGCUAUGUAGAUGAUUGCCGCAGAGAGCUUUUCACAAAAAGGGGAAGAUCUAUUGAGUCCUCCCACCAGAGCAGCGUUACUAGAACAUGUGCGGAGAGCUGCUUAUCAGGCUGGGCAUUGCUGGGGUCAGUCACUGUUUGCCAGUCCCGAGCUUCCAAUCCAAACAACUGGGGAUGGCAGACAUCUGCGAAAGGGUUUGUUCCUUUCCGGACAAAUCUUUCGGAAGUAUCGUCAACAACCAGAGAACUAAUUAAAUGUGAAUGCAAUCCAGAAAAAGGUUGCCGUGGCCGGUGCAAAUGUGUCAAUCAGAGCUUCAAUGUACAGCGCUUUGCAAAUGUAACGGAGACUGAGAUUGACUAUGAACAUUGUCAUUAUUUGUUUUAUUUAUCGUUCCAUGACAGUUAGCUCCAUUGUUACUUUAUGCUUGUCGCCCUGAUAAUGCGAAUACAAGCCAAAAUUGCGACGACACCAUGACAUCACAUAAACAUUA